AAUAUAUUNGGAUAUGAUAAUCCGUAGACCUUCAAAGUCUGAAAUAAUCAGUAGGAUUUUAUAUUG
rnacentral:tRNA from 1 species